rnacentral:rRNA from 1 species
AAUAUUUAUUUUAAAUUAAUUCAUUUCUAAUUUACAUUAGUAAUUUAAAUCUAUUAAACCGCCAUAAAAUUCAUCAAUCUCCUUAAACAACUAAUUUACUAUAAGGUGCUUACCUAUCAGGAUUAUUUAAAAAUACAUAACAACAUAAUUUUAAUAAAAUUAUCUUAUUAUUAAUUUUUUAAAUUAAAUUAAAUUUAAGUUUAGUUUUACAUCUUAAUAAUCCCAAUCUACUUAAUGUCAAAUUAAAUUAUAACCUCAAAUAGAAAAUUAAUCUAAAUAAUUUCUCCUAAAUUUUCAUUUAAAUUUUUUUAUAAAUUCAACUUUAAUAAUCACUUUAUAC